AGUAAUCCGCCGGGGGAACGGGUCGUCCGCCGCGCACGCCGCCAGGGACGGGCCCUCCGACAUGGGUGCCGCCUGGGGAUGAAACCCUACUCCGCGCGUGCCGCCGACGGACGAGGUCCUCCUUCACUCGCGCCGCCAUGGGGUGGGGGCCCUUCUCCACCCACGCUGCCGGGGGACGGGGUCUCCGCUCAAGCUGCAAGCUCAGGUCAGGCAUGUCUCUCUCCCUCUCUCUGAUUUCCUCAAAUUGAGAUCCUGAUCUAGGGUUUGGGCUAUGGGGCAGCUGCUGGACUAUGGAGACCAGUCAAUCCAUGGCACCAAUUGUUAGUCUUCACAAAACUUAAUCCCCCAACCCCCCUUUACUACUACUGCCCUACGAUUGCUGCUUGUUAUGGGGGUUCAGAAAGUGAUAGAUUACUGAAGGUUGUGUGUUACAUGUCAAACCUGUGCCACCAAGGUUGCAAAUUAUGUGCAUAAUUUGUCUGCAGGUUGUGGCUUUACUAUAGAAGUCAGCUGACCCAGUGUCCACCCAAAUAUGCAUUUCAAGGUUAUGUAAGACUGGUGCCCUGUUUUAUCAUUUAUUAAAUCUGAAUGUUCAAGGUGAAGCAGUAAUUUCUGUUUAAUUACAUUUGUUUUUCUUUUUUCUAUAAUUAGACCGGUGAAAUUUGUCUUGAUAUAUAUUGAAGAAUGCAUGGAGCCCUACAUUUGUUCAAGGUUAUAUAUUUGAAGAAUGCACCUCUGUGUGUACUGUUAGCAUCAUCUUUCUGACUUUGUAGUGUGUCUAUUUCAAUCAGUAGAUGCAUGAAGGAAAGUAAUAUUUGGGAAAAUUCCUCACCUUUCCAACUUGUUUGUUCUGCACAAAUCAUCCUUUAUUGUGGUUGUGUCAUACUGGUUGGACUAUGUUUGCACCAAGCUAUUAUAUUUACAUGGCCAUUAUGUUUUUUCAGUAAUCCUCUACUGAAUUAGAGCAGAACCUCUGAGCUUUGCUCGUUCUGACCAUGGACAUGCCGUAGUUUGAGAAAUGAUUGGAAUCUCAGUGUCACCAGUGGAAUGCCAAGUAUUAGUGCCAUUACAGUGCGUGGGCACCUCUUUGUGGAUCACUGGAUCCUGGAAUAAGUGAAGGAGUCCUAGGGACGGUUAACUAUUUUGAGAAGCUUCAUUUUUGCGCAACAUUUCUCUGUUGACUAUAACCCAUGCAACAGUCUUUUUAAAAACCAGAAGGCAUCAUCUCACAAAAGGAAGGUAUGCUUGAGGCCAUCACAAUUAAGGAAUUGGCUCAGAGGACUGGAGCAGCCGCCGUAUGGCCUAUUUAGCAACCUCUGUGUUGGCUGCUGACUUUAGUUUGCUAGGCAUCUAGAUUUAGCAUUUCAACUAUAUGAUGUAUGAGUAACUUGAAUCAGUGGCGGAUGUACACCCCGGGCCACCCGGGCUAUGGCCCGGGGUUCGGCCCAAAAAAUUGCUGAAGAAGGCCAAAAAAUUGCUGAAGAAGAAUAAAUAUACUACUUCGCGAUGACACUUGUUGUAUGUUUUCUAUCUUUCCAUUAUGUUCUCGUGUAUCUUUUGAACUUCCAUUAUGUUCUCGUGUA